CCCACGCCAACUUUUAUUUGGUGCACCGAUGAACCUGCCUUUAUCCAUACAAGCUGCUAGCACAUAUAAGAUUCCUAUGUCUAACUCGUAGUCUCGACCAUGGCGGCAAGCUGCACCCGUCUCAACCGGUUUCGCCCAUCAGGUCAAGAGCUACUGAUACAGCUGAGAUAGCAUAAUAGGAUCCACAAAGGUUCCUCGAUUGCCAAUUGGAUUGCACCUUCCGCUCUCCUCGAUGUAGCUUGCAAAGAAUGGUGCCUUGUGAUCUUUCCAUUUCUCGAUCGGGGUGUGCCUGAGGCGGGAACGAAUACAUACUCAAUAAUACGCGAAUGGAUCGGAACCUGGGAGAGAGAACAUCAUUGCGAAUCAGAAGUCCUGACGGCGAACUGGGACAAGAGGACCUGCUUUCCUUUACUUUUAUUUACUUUUAUUUUAUUUUUCGACAGUUCAGAUCGUCGUGGUGGUGGGGCUGAUCAGCAGCUCGGCAUGGCCUGGUUGGAAGGUUUUUCGAAUUUGAUAUAAUUGUCGUUUUGCUUUGUCGUCUUUUUUUUUUUUUUUGGACUCUUUUGAUGAUGUGGCCAUUUGCCGCCUGCCUCCGGCCAUGAAUUGAGGGUUAAUAUGAAGCCAGUAGAACGGAUUUGAGACAAACUUCAUCCUGUAAGCUAUCAGGCAAGUGUGCCAACAUUCGUUGUUUCAAAAAGAAUGAAACGUAUUUGGAUUCGCUCAGCGAGACUUGGAAGAUAUGUUGAUCUUUGGCCCUCUAAUAAUGCACCUGGUCUCAUGAAAA
rnacentral:sRNA from 2 species